AACUCAGCGGAGGCAUCACUUGGAAGGAAAAACGUAACUUUGGUGAAGAAAUCUAUAGAUGAUGUGUUCGAACUUGAAGGAGAAUAUGAUGCAGUAGUAAUAUGUCUUGGAUCCAAGAUAGACUUUCUUCCAGGGCUUAUUGGAAAGCUACCUUUAAGGACUUGCCGAGGUGUCAUUACUCAUUUGCAGUUACCCGAGAGUGCCAGGGGUUACCCUGAUGGUGGACCUUCUAUCUUGUCAGAUGCAUGGCUCGCAGUUCAGGGAUCUCGUAAUCUACA